rnacentral:Y_RNA from 1 species
GGUUGGUCCGAGGGUUGUGGGUUAUUGCUUAACUGUUCAACAUUGUCUUUCCCCACAACCACGCUUGACCAACUGUGGUUUU